UCUUCCGGAGCCUCAUCUGUCUGUUGGGCUGGAGGCAGGGCCUUUGUGAAGGCGGGUGGUGCUCGGAUCGCCUCUGGGCCCUUCCUCCAGCCCCGAGGCGGAUUCACCAUGAGGCUGAUG
rnacentral:pre_miRNA from 8 species